rnacentral:tRNA from 8 species
GGGAGCAGAUAGGUGCCGGUGUGCCUCCUGGUCUUCAAAACCAGUGUGGGGCGCUAAUCCCGUCCCGGAUGGGUUCGAUUCCCAUAUGUUCCCGCCA